rnacentral:rRNA from 1 species
GCGGGAUGAGCUCAAAUUUAAAAUCUGGCUGGUUUACUAGUCCGAAUUGUAGUUUAAAGAAGCGUUUUCGGUGGCAGCCUGGGUAUAAAUCCUUUGGAACAGGGUAUCAUAGAGGGUGAGAAUCCCGUCUUUGACUCAGUGCAUGCUACUAUGUGAUACGUUUUCAAAGAGUCGAGUUGUUUGGGAAUGCAGCUCAAAAUGGGUGGUAAAUUUCAUCUAAAGCUAAAUAUUGGCGAGAGACCGAUAGCGAACAAGUACCGUGAGGGAAAGAUGAAAAGAACUUUGAAAAGAGAGUUAAACAGUGCGUGAAAUUGUUGAAAGGGAAACGCUUGACACCAGUCAUGCGAGCGGAAAAUCAGUCUUUUGCAGUGGGGAGUGUGUGUGGGUUCGGACCGCAAGGCCGGCCUGCGCUUCAUCUCUGCUGUAAGUGAUGCACUUUUUCGUUUGCAGGCCAACAUCAGUUUCUUCUGCUGGACAAAACUCUUGAGAAGGUAGCAGCUUAGGCUGUGUUAUAGCUCUUGAGCGAUACAGUGGAGGAGACUGAGGUUUUCGCAGCGCGUGCUUUCGGGCAAGGCUGAUUGGGUGCUAUGGGAUCGUUCGGUGUACAAUGCAUGCAUUUUGCGCCGUGUCUUUUCUAUACUCGCUCAACUCGGCUCUUCCGCGCUUAGGAUGUUGGCUUAAUGGUUUUAAUCGACCCGUCUUA